UACGUAGGGUGCGAGCGUUAAUCGGAAUUACUGGGCGUAAAGCGUGCGCAGGCGGUGAUGUAAGACAGAUGUGAAAUCCCCGGGCUCAACCUGGGAACUGCAUUUGUGACUGCAUCGCUGGAGUGAGGCAGAGGGGGAUGGAAUUCCGCGUGUAGCAGUGAAAUGCGUAGAUAUGCGGAGGAACACCGAUGGCGAAGGCAAUCCCCUGGGCCUGCACUGACGCUGAGGCGCGAAAGCGUGGGGAGCAAACAGG
rnacentral:rRNA from 1 species